GGCUCUGGUCAACACCAGCAGCCAGGACAGGGUCUGUUCCCUGCUCUGUCUUCUUCCUGUGGAUGCUUUCUGGCAGGACGUCCCAGGCUCGGCCAUGUGUCCCCGUGGGGAUGGCAGGGAGGGCAGCACGCGUUGGCUGGGCUCCUUCCUGGCUGCAAUCCCUGCUGUUUUUCUCACGGAGGUGCAGGCUGGAGUGGGUUUGCCACACGGGGCCAGGCUGCUAGAACUGAUGCCCCAGCCCCGCUUGCCCAGCACCCCCAGGAGAGAAGCUCCAGGUCCCGCGUCUGUCCUGCCUGCAGGGAGGGACCCCAGGGGUGGAUCAAGUCUGUCACGCCAGGUUGACCAGGCCUGGUUCUGUGGCCUUGCAGGGGUGUUUUUCAUAAGCACAGAGACGGAUUUCCAUGGCUGCGUAGAUGACUAGGUCAAAGCAAGGAUGUGGGGGCGCUGAGCCUGAACCUGCUGAGAAACGUCUGCAACGACGGCCUGGGACUUCCCCCCGAACCCCCUGGCUCCCCGAGGAGGUGUCUGGAGUCUCCACAGUGUCUACUUGCCCAGAUGUGGGUCACCGCAAAGGCACGCUGGGGCGGGGCUCUCACUGUCUCUCCAGGGCAUGGCGAUUUCCGACCUCAAGGAAUCUAGGGGCUCUAAGGAGACUCUGGGUGUGAAUGCUCUGGCAUUGUUGCCGUUUCCCGCCGGCACUGCAGCAGGGGGACUGAGACUGUCCCGUGGAGCUCGCAUGCAGAAGCCGGCUCCCCUAACCCCCGUGCUCCCAAGAAACCCCAGCUCUGAGGAGACUCUUGUGUGUGCCUGAGCUCAGCCCCGCCCCACUGGGUGUCCUGCUCCUUACGAGGUGGAAGCAUCCAUGUCUGGUCCUGCGGCGGUGAGAGUUUGAUGCCCAAGCUGCUGAUAUAACAACAUCUGGGCAAUUUGGACUGGUGAAGGCCAUUGGUGCAAAAUCCCCCAAACCCCGCUAGCUGAGCCUGGAGCUCAGCCACAGUCCGGCUGGUUGUGUGGAGAAGGGCCCCAGGGCCCGUGAACUGGAACGAAUCAGCCCAUCCUUUCUCCUCAUACCCAGCUGCCCAGCGGAUGUGGAAGAACGGAGAUGCUGGAAACUGCAAUGCCGGAUAUCUGGAUGACACAGGCUCCUUCCUGGAUGAUCUGCUUCUCAGGUGGUAGCAUCCCAGCCAGAGACCACCCAGAUGCUCGGUGAUGGGCUUUGAGCUGUGUGCUAAGCCCACCCUUGGACGUGAACUCUGCUUAAGACAUCUCCCUUGGAAGCCAAAGCUGGCUUCCUUCCCAAACCGUGGGCACGAUGGGCCAGAUCGGCAAGUUAGGAAGUGAUUCACAGACAGAGGUGCUGCAGAGUCAGUUUUGAAUGACAAAUGGAACCAAUUAAGUUCAAUAGCGCGCUCGCUCCCCCCGAGUUCCAGCCUGUACCUACAGCUAGUCACCUUUGACAAAAUAUAUCAAAGGAAUUAAGAGUGUGUCCCCCACAAUGAUAUUACCUGGAUCCCUUUCAGGUCCUCACCAGCCACGUUCAGACAUCUAUUUAAGCCCAGGAAAUAGAAUCAAAAUGGUUUAUUAAAAAUCUAAUCACAAGCACUUAUAUGACACAAAUGAUUCUGAACUGCAUCCGCCAACCCCACGGCCUCUCCGAGGGGAGGCAGCAUGCGGCCGAUUACCCGGAAUUUGAAUGGGGGUGUAUAGAAGCUGCAGAACAUUUUAAUCCUGAUCUUUCUUUGUGGAUUUUGCUAUUGCUAUUUUUUUUUCUGUUGAAAAAGACAAAGAUGGGAGGACACAUUGUCUUUCCUCCCUGGAGGGAGCUGCAGAGAUGACUUAUUCUGGCAGAUCUGCCUCUAUUGAUGUUACCAGGAUGUGAAUAAAAACUCAUGGGAAAAGAAGAAAAAAUCCUGCUGAAUUUAAAGCAGCACAACACGGUUUACGGGUGGGUCCCUGUCUGCUAUCCUGAGCCAGGACACCUCCCUGGUGACUGCAUUGGAGCUUUCUCAAGAGGAGGGCCUUGUGCAAAGAUGGCCCCUUUCCCCUCAGGGUGGGAGCGGCUGGGCUUGGGGGAGACACUGUCUUUGGGGUGAGGCAUGGUUCGUGGCCUUUGCUUGGCUUUUGACUUUCUGGAGCUCUGGAUCCUUCACAGAUGCUCAGAACAGCCAUGGAUACAGAAGAGUCUCCUACGGUGUCUUCCUGCCCGGGGCCCAGCCAGAGCCAGGGCUCCACCACCCAGGGCUCAAUCAUAGCACUCUUUUCUGGUGGCCAAGACCCCCGCAAACUUCUCUCCAGACAGAGGUGUCGGAGCCUGGCCCGUGUUGCGGCUCCUGAGCUGGGAAGUCCGCCACGAGGAAGCAUCUGUCGGGACUGCCUCCUAAUGAAUGUCAGGUGCCUGCGUCAGCCACGGGCGGGUGGCUCUGGAAGGACCAGCAGGUUCUCAGCGAUGCAUGAUUUCGGUAGGUUGCCCUCACCUCCUCCCCUCUGUUGGGAAUGGAUAGACUGUUUUCUAGAAGGUUCCCUGACUCUUUGAGGGGAUUGGGCCCUCUGGCAUGUCAGGUACAGAAUGUUCCCCAAACCCUUCAUCUCUGUCCCCUCCUCCAGCUCUCUGCAGAUGAUGACUUUACUUUUACGUUAAGUUGCUUUUGUUUAGUCUUCCUCUCUAAACAACAACUACUUUUAAAUGAUUUUUUAAAGUACAAAGAGUUAGUUUGAUUCUUCCUCAAAUGCCUUCUUUUGAAGACAAGCUUGCCUUUUCGAUUUCAUAUCCCAUUUAAUUAAAAC
ensembl:lncRNA novel transcript, antisense to PRDM16